rnacentral:lncRNA from 1 species
CUAUACUAAAUUAAAUUUUAAGACAAAAAAUUUCUCUUAGUGCGACGUAACAUUAAAAAAAAAAAGACUAAAACCUUAACAUUUAGAUGUAACACCGCAGCUUUAGAGCUUGAUUAAGAUAUAAUACAUGCUUGAAACCUCAUAGUUGUCUUAAGAUAGGUCUAGAACGUGAGAACGAUUUUAAAACCUUACACAACCUUUUGGCAAAGCUAUCUUGUACCUCAUAGGUAUCUCAGAAUAACUCUAGAAGCCAAAAGUUUCCUUAUCCUCAACUACCCUUGAACCUUAGCAUUGUUUAUCCCAAACUACGUCGGCAAUCCUAAAGCACUACACAAAGACCCAUGAGUUUCCCAACUUUGUGUUAAUUUAAAGGAGUGCACUUGUGCUUGCGAGGGGUGGUGCUUAUUUCCAACUACAUCAAUUAACAUACCGCAUUUAGUGAAUAAUGAUAAUAAUAAUAAUAAUAAUGAAAAUUUUAAAAUCAAAAUCUACCGUGUUUAAUAUUUUAAAAUAAUAGUUUUAAUUUUUUUAAAAAAGCAAACCUUACAUCUUCGGUGAAACUAAAAGUCGUAAAUCUUAAAUAAAACACAAAAGUUUUAACUACUACCAUUUUGUUAUAAUUCAUUAUAAUUAUUAAUAGCUAUAAUUAUAUAGUUGGCAAAACAGAUUUUCUAUUAAGUAAAACUCAUAUUGUAUAAUUCUAUAAAUUUAAAUUUAGUUAAAAUUUUUACAAAAUCCAUAAGAGAAAAAGAUAUAUAUGAAAAUAAAAUUUUACAAAAUGUAUAAAAUAAAAUAUUACCUUAAGAAGGAUUUUUAUUUUUCCUUCAUCAAUAUGAAUUCAUUUUUUAUUGCAUCCAAUGCUGCUACGAACCUUUUUUUAAAAAAAUAAAUUAAAAAAAUUAGAAAAAAACACAAUAAAGAGAUAUGCUAAUUGAUUUAUGACAUUAAUUAUAUAUGAAAGCUUAUCCUUCCUUACUAUUUUCAUCAAAUGUUUUGAUGAAUUCCUCACAUUUCAGUGCCAUUCGACAAACACCAAGGCCACAAUUAAAAUCAACUAAUUAUUUUUUAAAAUACAAAUUGUGUAAAUGUAAUGACCCAGCUUGCGUAAGUUAGAAUUUGAAUGCAAAUUCAUGCUGCAUAUAGUUUAUUUAAGCAUUAGGGGAAUUUUUGGAAGUAAACAAAAAGGGAUUCUAAAAAUAUAAAAAUAUAAAGUGUAAUCUAAAAAAAUAAUAAUAAUAAAUAAUAAAAUUGGGAAAAUGACCAAAUUAAAAACAAAUUUGGGAGUUUAGUCUACUAUGUAAUUAAAUAGAAGCCCAAAUGAUUAAAAUUACAAGAUUUGUGGUCAUUAUGGAAUUUUCAGAAAUCAACUUAUCUACUUCAAAAUGACACCAUUUUGAUUUUUUUAAAAAUAAAAUCAACGGUUUAGAUCUCAUCUCGCAAUAGACAACUACAAUUUGAUCUUGUUUACUAUAUAAAAGUUCUUGUUCAUAAAAAAAUAAUAAUAAGAAACCCUAUGAGCAAAUGAGCGGUGACAGAAAGGAGAAGUAGAGGGGAGAUACGUGAAAGUGAAAGGGAAGAGAGA